CCUACGGGUGGCAGCAGUGAGGAAUAUUGGUCAAUGGACGCAAGUCUGAACCAGCCAUGCCGCGUGCAGGAAGACGGCUCUAUGAGUUGUAAACUGCUUUUGUACGAGGGUAAACGCAGAUACGCGUAUCUGUCUGAAAGUUUCGCACGAAUAAGGAUCGGCCAACUCCUGGCAAGCAGCCGCGGUAAGACGGAGGAUUCAGGCGUUAUCCGGAUUGAUUGGGGUUAAAGGGUGCGUAGGCGGUCGGAUAAGGUAGAGGUGAAAGCCCGAGGCUCAACUUCGGAAUUGCCUCUGAUACUGUUCGGCUAGAGAGUAGUUGCGGUAGGCGGAAUGUAUGGUGUAGCGGUGAAAUGCUUAGAGAUUAUACAGAACACCGAUUGCGAAGGCAGCUUACCGAGCUACUUCUGACGUUGAGGCACGAAAGCGUGGGGAGCAAACAGGAUUAGAUACCCCUGUAGUC
rnacentral:rRNA from 1 species